UGAGGAGAUAGCUCAGUCAGAAGAGCACGUGACUUUUAAUCUCAAGGUUGCAGGUUCAAGCCCCACAUUGGGCAAAA